GAUGAAGAACGUAGUGAAAUGCGAUACGUAGUGUGAAUUGCGGAAUUCCGUGAACCAUCAAAUCUUUGAACGCAUAUUGCGCUCGAGGCUUCGGCCGAGAGCAUGUCUGCCUCAGCGUCGGUAUUACCCCUCGCUUCUCAACCCCUGGUUGAUGCCUGCCUGCCUUUGCAGUUGGCUAGAAGCGGAUCUGGCUUUCCCAAUUGCCUUUGGUAGUUGGGUCAGCUGAAGCACAGAGGCUUGAGCAAGGACCCUUAUUGGGCUUCAACUGGAUAGGUAGAACUGGUCUUAGGACCAACUACACGAAGUUGUUGCUUGUGGUCUUUGUCUGGAGGCCAGCAGGAAACCUUUAUACCUUCGACCUGAGCUCAGGCAAGAUUACCCGCUGAACUUAAGCAUAUCAAUAAGCGGAGGA
rnacentral:misc_RNA from 1 species